GAGGACCCCAACCAGGCUGUGUUGAAGUUCACUACCGAGAUCCAUCCAUCCUGUGUCACUCGGCAGAAGGUGAUUGGAGCAGGAGAGUUUGGGGAGGUGUACAAGGGCACGCUGAAGACAUCCUCGGGGAAGAAGGAGGUGCCGGUGGCCAUCAAGACGCUGAAAGCCGGCUACACAGAAAAGCAGCGAGUGGACUUCCUUGGCGAGGCCGGCAUCAUGGGCCAGUUCAGCCACCACAACAUCAUUCGCCUGGAGGGCGUCGUCUCCAAAUGUGAGGCUUGGGGCCUGCCCACGUUGGGUGGUGAGGGGCCACCUAGCAGGUGCUCUGUCUGUGACUGUGCCCUCCUCCCCUAUAACUGUGCCCACCUUCCCCCCAUACCUGCACCCACCUCCUCUACACCUGUGCCCACCUUUCCCCAAUACCUGCACCCACCUCCU
rnacentral:sRNA from 1 species